rnacentral:lncRNA from 1 species
GGAAAGUUAACAUGGUAAAGAUAUCUUAGAUGGACUACCUAAAAAGAAAGAGCUAUUAAUAGAAGCAGAAUAAUACAUGUUUGGUAUUGAAUACCAAUAAAUAUGGUUACUGCAUUGAAUAUUUAUAAGUAAUAGAUUUUAGCAAAGUUAUAUUCUCCGUAGCUGAGAUGAAUUGAACAUUUCACGCGGUGUAUGAAGGGAGGUCAACAUUUUUAAUAGUCGAUAACGAAAGGAAAAUUGAUACUGACCGAGGAUAGUUUGAUAGUUGAUACUGAACGAGGAUAGUUGGAUAGUUGAUACUGACCGAGGAUAAUUGGAUAUAGGUGGCAGAAAAGUGAUACUGACCAAGGAUAGUUGGAUAUAGGUGGCAGAAAAGUGAUAUUGAUCGAGGAUAGUUGGAUAUAGAUGGCAGAAAAGUGACCAAGACGAUUUGACGUAAAAAUAACAAACACGCAAAAUCAGCAAUAGAGGCGAAAUAAAACUGAAUAUCAAAAGGAACCAACAGAAUGACAAAAAGGCGCUUAUUAACAAACAAAUAAUAGACAUAUUCGAAUGCAGCAGAUUAUUUCAAAAUCUGAUUCUCCAAUAAGCAUUCAGUGUCUAGGUACAGACAAACAAAACACACUGUGGAUCCAGGAACAAACUGUUGUGACAAAAUUUUUUUGUGAAAUGACACGAUUCCGGAUGCGAGCAAUGGUCUAGCACAAAACAUGAUAUAAUUAUUUGCUCUUCGUAUCUUCUUCCUCCUUUUUAAAAUUUGACACUUGACAUUAAACAGAAAUUGAUCCCAUCCUUGUCAAUGUUUGCUUAGCAUCACUUAUCUCGUAUAUCGAGCAGUUAUUCCAGACUAUGCUGUCUUGGCAACCGAUUCUCAUGAUUUUUAUAGAAAGUUUAUACUAAAAACUAAAUAAUAGCAUUUCCGUGACGACACCUGCUUUCGGAAAACAUUCAUCGGUUGCAUUUUUUAUUUCUUAACGAGUAGGUUGACAUGAAAUAUGUGUCAGAUCUAAGUUGUGUUAAAAUGGUUGUUUUCGCCUUAUCUUUUACUGAAUGAGUCCUAUCAUCAUAUAUCAACA